UUUAUCCACAAGCAGGACAGAAAACUGGCAGGCUGCAGGACUGGCCACUUCCCCACUUGCCCUGAUUUGCCCACAUUCUAUCAUCCUGCCCUUGAGGAACCAUGUUUCUAGAGUGGGCAGGAAGGAGCAGGAAGAGUCCCCAAUUUGUUUUAUUUAAUGAUCACCCUGGAUAAUGGAUGGGGCUGAGCCAUGCUUCAAUGAGGCCCCCGGCAGACAUUACAGCUGGAGCCCUCCCAAGAACCUGGAAAUUACAUCCUCUGCAAACCAUGCUUCUGUGGAGUGGGCACUGAAAGACAGGGAUCCAACAGGGGCGAAAUCCUAGUCUCAUCAAAGCCAACGGCACAAUCCCCACUGAUGUCAAAGAGUCCAGAAUUUCACCCCAGCAUCUCAAAGAAUCCCAAGGGUCUUCCCACCUCCCCACAUGCUGCACCACUGAAAUGCAGCUACUUCUGGGGCAGAGAACAGCAACCACCCUGCUGCACCAACACUGUUUGCUGAAACCUGGAUUGUCCCUCCAGAUGCAGAAAGUGAGAGAAGAAGCCAAGGUCAGCCAGGCCAGGAGACAAGCACAGGCUAUCAAUGAUCGCGGACGGCUUAUUAACAAAGCACCAGAGGAUAUGCCAGCAAUGCACCAAUCGUGGUGGAGAACAUGCCCACCUUCUAGUAUUCAACCUGUCUACGGAGCCCAGCAUCCUCCUCUGGAUCCCCGGAUCACCAAAAACUUCAUUAAGGAACGUUCCAAGGGCAAUGCGCUGCCCCUGAAGAAUAAGAAGGCCUCUAGCUUUCACGAGUUUGCACGCAACACCAGUGACGCCUGGGACAUCGGCGAUGACGAAGACUUCUCCUCUUUCCAAACCCUGAACUCUAAAGUGGCCAAGGCCACAGCAGCCCAGGUGCUGGAGAACCACAGCAAGCUGCGCGUGAAACCCGAGCAGGCCCAGUCUGCUCUCAGCGAGAUGCCAACCAACUGCAAGGUCAUCAAGUCCAGCAGCGAGGCCCAGCUGUCCAGACCACCUGAUCUUUGAAAGAAUCCUGUUUAUCUGGGCCAUCCGACACCCAGCCAGUGGCUAUGUCCAGGGGAUUAAUGACCUGGUCACUCCAUUCUUUGUCGUGUUCCUCUCCGAACAUGUUGGCAUCUCCAGGAAAAAUGCUGACAGCCUGAAAUAAUUGAAGCAGACUCUGCACUGGGAACUGCAAGAGGGCAGGGGAGAAGAGAGAACCAGGGCAUGAUCUACACAACCAUCCUCUGGUUAGCUGGCAUGCAUGUGUGCUCUGAACGCUGUCCCGGCUCUGUGCAGAGUUGUCUGUGCACAUUUCAACAGCAAGGAACAGGUCGCCCACUUCGCGUUCCUCUCCAUCUCUUCUGCUCCAGCCUGCUUCCUAACCGUGACCCAAUGGCUAGAUACCACAGUGACAAGAGUUAUAUAAAUAUCCAGGACAGAUGAACAGAAAAGCUCUCUUUUUACAUAUUGCUCAAUGGAAGAUGCUCUCUAAAACAUCCAGGUGGCUGCCAUUCAGGGUCAUGCAUCUGGUCAGUGAUGUUACUACUACUACUAAAUAUUCAAACUAAAUGCCAACUGGCUGUUACUUAAGGCUGUAGAGCACAUGCAUUUUAUCUCUCUCUUUAAGUGGUCUCAGUACCACUAGAUAGGAGAGAACAACACAUCCAGAAGGUGUGUGGAUUACAUAAUGUAUUACUCAGCUUGAGAAAUGGUGAUUAGAGGCCCAGGCUGACUUGGUUCAUGCCACUUAAAUGGAUUGCUAGUGAAUUGCCUCUACUGGUCCUUGUCUACAGAGAAAAGCUCAGGUUAGAGGAGUAACAGAGAGGGAUGCAAUAGACUAAGUCAAAUUAAAUCCCGAGUCCCUUCAUGGCGGCAGAGACUGGUUUGAGGCAGAGAGGGCUUCUCCAGAGUAUGGGGGGAACAGGCAGCUAGUGUCACCCCAAAAGUAGGCUAGGCAGCCAGAGUUGCAGUGAUUCAGCACAGCCAAGCUGCAGCUUCUAAGGUGAACUUCUAGGGAGCUCCUAAUGCAGAGUUCAGCUGCUUUCUGUCCCUUGUCCCCACCUGACACCUUCCUGGAAAUACAAUUUGCUCUUACCUGCGAGAGUAUCAUGCCCCCUUAGAGCUCAGUAGCCCACAAAGCUACAAUUUUGAGGUGGAGGGAACUUCUGGGCCUAUAUGUUACUUCUCUGCAGCUUUGUUUCAAUCGGCGCCUCCUGGCUUUAUACAAGCACUGAUUCUUAGUGGAAGGGGGUGUAGCACUUAUUUUUCUGGCCAACACAGCGUUAGCAGUUACCAAAGGAUCCUUUCUACUCAUCCUCUGGGUCAAAUUCAUCUCUGUUAUUUUGGGGAUCUGACUCUAUCUCGCUGGCUCCAUAAACAGGAGUAAAGAUACCAGCCUAAUAGUGCUGUAGACCAAUGUUUCCUGAUAUUCCACAGAACAGGUACAGCAAGCUGCUGUCUCCUAUGCUACUUCCCCAGUAUGCUUCAACCAUGAGCUUCUCCAGAUGUGAGAGGAAAAGCCAGUCGUCACUGCUUGCUCUGUCCUUGCAGUCCCUGCUGAGACUGUUCACUAGAUUGAGACGGUUUUUCACUAAGAAAAGGAGCCUUUAAACAGACUGGGGAUUUUUAGGUCUUGUAGCCAGUGGGAUAAAGAUAUAAAAAACACACAAUCAGCCAGCAGUUAUAACAAUUGCAUUUUAUUGCAUCCUUGGAAUGCAGG